rnacentral:rRNA from 1 species
CCUACGGGAGGCAGCAGUGAGGAAUAUUGGUCAAUGGGCGCAAGCCUGAACCAGCCAAGUCGCGUGAGGGAAGACGGUCCUACGGAUUGUAAACCUCUUUUGCCGGGGAGCAACGGGGUCCUUGCGAGGGCCCGAUGAGAGUACCCGGAGAAAAAGCAUCGGCUAACUCCGUGCCAGCAGCCGGGGUAAUACGGAGGAUGCGGGCGUUAUCCGGAUUUAUGGGGUUUAAGGGGUGGGUAGGCGGGCUGUUAAGUUAGCGGUAAAAUGUCGGGGCUCAACCCCGGACUGCCGUUGAAACUGGCGGCCUCGAGUGGGCGAGAAGUAUGCGGAAUGCGUGGUGUAGCGGUGAAAUGCAUAGAUAUCACGCAGAACUCCGAUUGCGAAGGCAGCAUACCGGCGCCCGACUGACGCUGAGGCACGAAAGCGUGGGUAUCGAACAGGAUUAGAUACCCCGGUAGUC